CGUCGUAGCCGUCCGCCCUCUAAUGCAUCAAGUGGCCCUACCCUUGACCCCCGAGCAGCUAACAUCCGCCGAAGCCGACAUUUCGCCGGCACUCCGGCAAAUAUUUGCAUUUAAUCCCAGAGGCGCGGUCUCAUGGGUGCUGCUCAACAUCCUUCAUCGGAUGCUACGCUUAUCUUGCCCUCUUCAAGGUGCCCUUGGUUGCGCGUUGCGAGCCAAGAUGCUCCAGGUUGCAGCAACGAGCGAUUGGCUGACGAGCGCUCGCCUCAAGCUGCUCGGAAAAAAACACGCUCAAGUCAAGCGGUGGCAGAAAGAGGCCAGGAAAGCUCAAAGAGCAGCCAAAAUGGCGAAAUCUUGCCGUUUGUUUUUCCCUCAACGGUUGGGUCGCUGGCGGCCUAAUCGAAGCAGAUAGCGCCUAACGCUCACUUGCGCGGGAGCCGUCGUGCCCACCAAAAGUCGCUGCAUGUUGGUGAUAAUGCGCCUGCGUUUUCUUGUCUCCGCACUUUUCACGCUGAUAGCGCUCGUGUUCAUUUUGUUGUCUUGAUCGUUGCCUCGAAAGCUUCCCCACACUUAAUUGUUUAAGUAACCAAAACACGGCUAGCAGCCUCAACCAUUAGCGGCGCUAGCGAGGCGUCGUCUCAUGUCAAGAAGAGGAAGAGAAACGUUUGAAUGUUCAUGUUUGUCUUUUCUUCACACUCCGGUGGUGAAAACUUCCUAAGUGGGUGAUUUAUUGCCAACACGCAAGCCAAAGCUCAUGUCAGCUUUUCUUUUUUUGGUCUUCCUCGGAGGCCUCUGAAAGCAUUUGUUUGAUCUCGCUCUCCUAGCAGAAAGCAGGCCACUGGCUUUUGGCUCCAAUAAGGGCGCAAAAGCCCAAAAGCGCCCGAUCGCCCUUUGACAGCUCGUCAUUUGUGGCAAGCGGGGCACGUGUUUAUGUUUAGCUCCACGCAAGCAACUGAUGGGCUCCCGUGUGCAGAUGAAAGCUAUUUAUGACUCCCACUAUCAGAUUUGCCCCACUCGGAUUUCACCCCUGAACGGCGCACGGGGGCCGGCCGGCACCGAGCCAGCUUCUACACUCUGGCCUGCAACAUCAUCAAUCUUUCCACAGACGCCCUCAACAAAAGCUGUUUGGCAUCAACAUACUUUUACUUUCCACUGCUCCCUACCAAGUACGUCAGGUGAGUACAACAGAUUCCAUCUCGAGUUGCGCACUACUAGAUUAGUCUGACUUCACUGCUGGCCUUUUCCUCACUUUCACUUUCCUUGGCGACGCUCACGGUACAUCCUGUCCGCUCGUUUGCUGACACCGAGAUGACAUCAUCGCCGGGGCAACCCCCCCCGAAAUGUUGCAGACAAAGGCCCCCGAGCAGCGUCGGCUAUCCGCACAUCGGCGUGGACGCAGCACUUUUGCAAAUCCCUAACCAGAUUAGCGCCGCGCCCCAAUAGGCUGUCACGCCCGCACAUGGCUGGGGAGGCCCGAGGGCGGCCCUAAAUACCCAGAAAGGCUUUCUGGCUUUGGCGUCGAUGGUUCAAAUGGUGCCGUGACGCAGGCGGGUCAGCAUGACCAGGCAAAAGAACAAGAUCAAAAGUGGAAGCAGGCCACCAGCUAAUGAUUGACGGUCUUCACACAAAACUGUUACACAUUACUCUCCCCAAAAUAUUUGAGCCCCACUGAUCGGGAGUCUACCCAAAAGCCUGACGAGGUAUUCGCGGAACGCACGGCUCAAACAUUAACGUUGUUGAACUCGGUAGUUGCCGCCGUGACUCUGAAUUUGCACGUUCAAGGGUCGCGGAGGGAGAGCCCCCCCCUUCGACCCCUUCCUCCACGGCGUGUCAAUAACAUGGCCAUCACGAGACGCAGACACCUUCAUUUGAUUGAGAGGGUCAACAGCUGUGGGCCGAGAGAGCGACGGCCUAAUUCCUGACUGACUGAUUGACAGCCUGACGAAUAAAAAGUGAAAAUAUUUCGCAAGACUUCAAGGAUGCUCGAACACUGCCGGCUUGUUAAUGUCUAAACUGAAUAAACAUCUCUCUUA